rnacentral:tRNA from 1 species
CGGGGCGUGGCGCAGCUUGGUAGCGCACCUGCUUUGGGAGCAGGGGGUCGCAGGUUCGAAUCCUGUCGCCCCGACAA